ensembl:lncRNA
CUUUCCUGAGCACAAAUGUGUUUCAGAGCAUCGAGCUCAGCAUCAGUUUUGGGAUGUUAAUCCUUGGAUACAUUCUCAGGAUCCCAUUCAGACACAUUUGCCUUACUGAUACUGUUCAUGGAAAACCGGACUAGACUUGGGGUCACAGCACCUUGACGGGGGUCUGCAGCCUCCACCCCCACUCCAGCUGAGGCUGCUUUCUCCCACGUCCCAAGGUCCAGGUGAGUGGGCCUUAAGCAGAGUCCUCUGUGAAGAAAAGUCGCUCAGUCAUGUCCG